GGGGGGUCCCAGAGGGGCAGUGGGGAGCACAGGGGGGUUCCAGGGGGCCAUGGGAGCACAGGGGGUCCCGGCGGGAUGCGGGACGGGAGUUGGGGAAGCACAGGGGGUCCCGGGGGGAUGCAGGGCGGGAGUGGGGGUCCCGGGGGGCAUUGGGGAAGCACAGGGGGUCCCGGGGGGAUGCAGGGCGGCAGUGGGGGUCCCGGGGGGCAUUGGGGAAGCACAGGGGGUCCCGGGGGGAUGCAGGGCGGGAUUGGGGAAGCACAGGGGGUCCCGGGGGGAUGCAGGGCGGGAGUGGGGGUCCCGGGGGGCAUUGGGGAAGCACAGGGGGUCCCGGGGGGAUGCAGGGCGGGAGUGGGG